UACGGAGGGUGCAAGCGUUAAUCGGAUUGAUUGGGCGUAAAGGGCGCGUAGGUGGUUUACUGAGUGAGUUGUGAAAUCCAUGGGCUUAACCUGUGGCUGUCAACUCAGACGGGUAGACUGGAGUACAGUAGAGGGUCGUGGAAUUUCCGGUGUAGCGGUGAAAUGCGUAGAGAUCGGAAGGAACACCAAUGGCGAAGGCAACGACCUGGGCUGAAACUGACACUGAGGCGCGAAAGCGUGGGGAGCAAACAGGAUUAGAUACCCGAGUAU
rnacentral:rRNA from 1 species